rnacentral:rRNA from 1 species
UACGGGGGGUGCGAGCGUUGUCCGGAAUCACUGGGCGUAAAGGGCGCGUAGGUGGUUUGAUAAGGGUGUGGUGAAAGUCCGGGGCUCAACCCCGGAUCUGCCGUGCCGACUGUCAAACUCGAGGACUGUAGAGGCAGACGGAAUUCCGGGUGUAGCGGUGGAAUGCGUAGAGAUCCGGAGGAAGACCGGUGGCGAAGGCGGUCUGCUGGGCAGUUCCUGACACUGAGGCACGAAGGCCAGGGGAGCAAACGGG